rnacentral:rRNA from 2 species
GGUUAAUAUUCCCGUACUUGGUGUUACUGCGAAGGGGGGACGGAGAAGGCUAUGUUGGCCGGGCGACGGUUGUCCCGGUUUAAGCGUGUAGGCUGGUUUUCCAGGCAAAUCCGGAAAAUCAAGGCUGAGGCGUGACGACGAGGCACUACGGUGCUGAAGCAACAAAUGCCCUGCUUCCAGGAAAAGCCUCUAAGCAUCAGGUAACAUCAAAUCGUACCCCAAACCGACACAGGUGGUCAGGUAGAGAAUACCAAGGCGCUUGAGAGAACUCGGGUGAAGGAACUAGGCAAAAUGGUGCCGUAACUUCGGGAGAAGGCACGCUGACACGUAGGUGAAGUGAUUUACUCACGGAGCUGAAGUCAGUCGAAGAUACCAGCUGGCUGCAACUGUUUAUUAAAAACACAGCACUGUGCAAACACGAAAGUGGACGUAUACGGUGUGACGCCUGCCCGGUGCCGGAAGGUUAAUUGAUGGGGUCAGCGCAAGCGAAGCUCCUGAUCGAAGCCCCGGUAAACGGCGGCCGUAACUAUAACGGUCCUAAGGUAGCGAAAUUCCUUGUCGGGUAAGUUCCGACCUGCACGAAUGGCGUAAUGAUGGCCAGGCUGUCUCCACCCGAGACUCAGUGAAAUUGAACUCGCUGUGAAGAUGCAGUGUACCCGCGGCAAGACGGAAAGACCCCGUGAACCUUUACUAUAGCUUGACACUGAACAUUGAGCCUUGAUGUGUAGGAUAGGUGGGAGGCUUUGAAGCGUGGACGCCAGUCUGCGUGGAGCCGACCUUGAAAUACCACCCUUUAAUGUUUGAUGUUCUAACGUGGACCCGUGAUCCGGGUUGCGGACAGUGUCUGGUGGGUAGUUUGACUGGGGCGGUCUCCUCCUAAAGAGUAACGGAGGAGCACGAAGGUUGGCUAAUCCUGGUCGGACAUCAGGAGGUUAGUGCAAUGGCAUAAGCCAGCUUGACUGCGAGCGUGACGGCGCGAGCAGGUGCGAAAGCAGGUCAUAGUGAUCCGGUGGUUCUGAAUGGAAGGGCCAUCGCUCAACGGAUAAAAGGUACUCCGGGGAUAACAGGCUGAUACCGCCCAAGAGUUCAUAUCGACGGCGGUGUUUGGCACCUCGAUGUCGGCUCAUCACAUCCUGGGGCUGAAGUAGGUCCCAAGGGUAUGGCUGUUCGCCAUUUAAAGUGGUACGCGAGCUGGGUUUAGAACGUCGUGAGACAGUUCGGUCCCUAUCUGCCGUGGGCGCUGGAGAACUGAGGGGGGCUGCUCCUAGUACGAGAGGACCGGAGUGGACGCAUCACUGGUGUUCGGGUUGUCAUGCCAAUGGCACUGCCCGGUAGCUAAAUGCGGAAGAGAUAAGUGCUGAAAGCAUCUAAGCACGAAACUUGCCCCGA